CACACUAGAAAGAUUUUCCCUUUCCCGUCUUACAGCUGAGAAGUAUCCAGCAGUCAGGACUGGAAAUAGGCCUGCUGACAGGAUUACUGCUUGGAGUGGAGAAAGGUUUUUCUGGAAAGUCACUUAGGUCUCCUGACAAACACAGCACAUUUCACUUAACCACAGUAGUCAUGCUGUGCCCAUUGCUGAAUGAUGCUGGUGAGAGCUUGGUCCUGAUUUAGAUUAAGAAGCCUAAAUUUCAGAUGUUUACAUUUACACCGAGUGUGUAAACUUCCAUCACAGUCUGUGGUGCUCUAGGGAUCAUUUUAGUUCUCUACUCAUGGGCACCAAGUGCCAUUUGAGGGUCCUCAGGGUGUCUGCAGAGGGCUGAUGUCACAAUGUCUGCACAGACCUGUGUUCUGCCAGAGACACCCUGGGACCUCCCAGGACCACUGAGGUGAUGAGAGACACUUGUGUUUAGGACACUGCAUCUUCUUUGAGAUGGCUCAGACUUCCCUGCUACACCUCUGAGCUCUGGCACCAUGUCCCAGCAGGACACCAGCCCAUGGUGUCACCUUCUCCAUAGGGAACUUCCUCCUGCCCCUGCACCCCCCAUCUUUAAUGUGGAAAGCCCUGUGCUCUCCCAGGAAGAAACCUGGAGAACAUGAGGAAAACAAACCAAACCAAUGAAACCAAGGUGAGCAUCAUUAGUAUUUUCCUCCAAAAUCUGGAUUUUAGCCCAAAUUCAUAAUGGCCCAAGAAUUCUUAUUCCUGGCAAUGCUGUAGGAGAGGGAUAAAUCUCAGCUUUAUCCAGAAUUUGUCUUGUCUGUCACUGAGAGCUGAUUUUAAUGGCAAUGAUGUGAAACAGGCACCUUCAUCUCAGCAGGUAUCAGACACCAUGUUAGAUGUUUGAUCUAAAACUUCACUAACUCUGGGCCAAGAAAAAAUCAUAUCCUAGCUGAUCACUGCUGCAAAAUGAUAAUAGAUUUUUGAGGUGUCAUUUAAUCAGGUUUUAAGACAUAAAUGUUACUUUUUUAGGGCAGCCAGCUCCUUAACCUCAUUUACAGAUUUUCUUAAUUUCUGGUUUUAUCUUCCCUC
rnacentral:lncRNA from 1 species